rnacentral:rRNA from 1 species
UCGAUGAUCCGUAGCUGGUCUGAGAGGAUGAUCAGCCACAUUAGGACUGAGACACGGCCUAAACUCCUACGGGAGGCAGCAGUGAGGAACUUUGGACAAUGGGGGAAACCCUGAUCCAGCGAUACCGCGUGAAUGACGAAGGUCGAAAGAUUGUAAAGUUCUUUUGUUGGGGAAGAUAAUGACGUUACCCAAAUAAUAAGCACCGGCUAACUCUGUGCCAGCAGCCGCGGUAAUACAGAGGGUGCGAGCGUUAUUCGGAAUUACUGGGCGUAAAGAGUGCGUAGGCGGAAUUGCAAGUCAAAUGUUAAAGAUUGGAGCUUAACUUCAGGAGUGCAUUUGAUACUGCUUUUCUAGAGUAUGGAAGAGGAAAACGGAAUUUCUAGUGGAGGGGUGAAAUCCGCAGAUAUUAGAAAGAACACCAAAGGCGAAGGCAGUUUUCUGGUACAUUACUGACGCUGAGGCACGAAAGUGUGGGGAGCAAACAGGAUUAGAUACCCUGGUAGUCCACACCCUAAACGAUGAGUGUUAGAUAUUGGAUGUAUUGUCCAGUAUUGUAGCUAACGCGUUAAACACUCCGCCUGAGGAGUACGGUCGCAAGAUUAAAACUCAAAGGAAUUGACGGGGACCCGCACAAGCAGUGGAGCGCGCGGUUUAAUUUGAAGGUACACGAGGAACCUUACCAAUCCUCGAAACUUUAUUAUCACAGCAAUGUGGACGAUUAUCGGGAAAGCGAUGGAUUGUUUUGUAGCAAUACAAGUAGUAAAUUAGGUGUUGCAUGGCCGUCGUCAGCUCGUGUCGUGAGAUGUUGGGUUAAGUCCCGCAACGAGCGCAACCCCUAUCCUUAUUUGCCAGCGAGUUAUGUCGGGAACUAUAAGGAAACUGCCAACGAUGUAAGUUGGAGGAAGGUGGGGAUGAUGCCAGGUCAGCAUGGCCCUUACGGGUUGGGCUACACGCACGCUACAAUGGUGAUUACAACGAGCAGCAAUAGGGCGACCUUGAGCGAAUCUCUUAAAAAUCAUCUUAAUCCAGAUUGCUCUCUGAAACUCGAGAGCAUGAAGCCGGAAUUGCUAGUAAUCGCAGAUCAGAAUACUGCGGUGAAUACGUUCUCGGGUCUUGUACACACCGCCCGUCAAACCAUGGGAGUCGUGAAACCCCAAGAUGGUGAGCUAACCGCAAGGAGGCAGCUAUCCAAGGUGAAUCGAUGACUGGGGUUAAGUCGUAACAAGGUAGCCGUAGGGGAAUCUGCGGCUG